CCUACGGGUGGCAGCAGUGAGGAAUAUUGGUCAAUGGCCGGAAGGCUGAACCAGCCAAGCCGCGUGAGGGAGGACGGCGCAGAGCGUCGCAGACCUCUUUUGUCGGGGGACAAAAGGCCGGACGCGUCCGGUUCUGAGGGUACCCGGAGAAAAAGCAUCGGCUAACUCCGUGCCAGCAGCCGCGGUAAUACGGAGGAUGCGAGCGUUGUUCGGAUUUAUUGGGUUUAAAGGGAGCGUAGAUGGGUUGUUAAGUCAGUUGGGAAAGUUUGCGGCUCAACCGUAAAAUUGCAAUUGAUACUGGCAGCCUUGAGUACAGGAGAGGUAGGCGGAAUUCGUGGUGUAGCGGUGAAAUGCAUAGAUAUCACGAAGAACUCCGAUUGCGAAGGCAGCCUACUGGACUGCCACUGACGUUGAUGCUCGAAAGUGUGGGUAUCAAACAGGAUUAGAUACCCCAGUAGUC
rnacentral:rRNA from 1 species